rnacentral:lncRNA from 1 species
AUUUGCUGAAAAUAGACCCUUGUGGCAUGAAUUUCCUAAGAAUUUGGCAGAUCAGUCCAAGUUUAGGAUGAGAGAGAAGAAAAGAGAACUUGCUACUUUCUAGUUAGUUGGCAGAGAGAGAGCACACCGAUGAGUGAGCACAGGCACACGUGUCUUCUGCUUGGAAUAGCCCUUCUCAGGGCACCUCUGUCUGGAAUGGUCCGCGUGUGUUCUGACUGCUCCGGUCCACUGUGAUCCUGAGACUCUAAGCUCAGCUCCUGGCCCUCUUGGAGUGGCACCACCAUGCCUGGUCCCCAGCCUCCCAGAGCACCCAAGGGGGAAAGCUGUGGUGUCCCUGCUACAAAGCACAGGCUCAGGAACCUGGCUCAGAGCUGCUCCUCAGUGCCAGCUGCUGGACUGGACAAGAUUUUAGGCAAGGCACGGCCACACACCAGGUAGGUGAAAACCCACCACACUGAACCGCUGCCAGGGAGCCCACGAAGGCACUGAGCCUCUCCAUGAACGGAGGCCUAACCUCAGCCUGCCUGGCUGAUCUCAUCUCUAGGGUGCUUUACAUGACAGCAGCAGAGUGUGAGCCUGCUGCCCGGAGGAACUAUGCAGGUGUAAGUAGCACCCAGCUUGUCCUCAGGCACGUGGCAG